rnacentral:rRNA from 1 species
CCUACGGGUGGCAGCAGUGGGGAAUAUUGCACAAUGGGCGAAAGCCUGAUGCAGCAACGCCGCGUGGAGGAAGAAGGGUUUCGGCUCGUAAACUUCUAUCAACAGGGACGAAAGAAAUGACGGUACCUGAAUAAGAAACCCCUGCUAACUACGUGCCAGCAGCUGCGGGAAUACGUAGGGGGCAAGCGUUAUCCGGAAUUACUGGGGGUAAAGGGUGAGUAGGCGGCAUUGUAAGCGAGAUGUGAAAGUCUUGGGCUUAACCCGAGGAUUGCAUUUGGUACUAUCAAGCUAGAGUACAGGAGAGGAAAGCGGAAUUCCUAGUGUAGCGGUGAAAUGCGUAGAUAUAAGGAAGAACACCAGAGGCGAAGGCAGCUUUCUGGACCGCGACUGACGUUGAGGCACGAAAGCGUGGGGAGCGAACAGGAUUAGAUACCCGAGUAGUC